ACAAUGGAGAGUUUGAUCCUGGCUCAGGACGAACGCUGGCGGCGUGCCUAACACAUGCAAGUCUGGGAGAAUUGGGUAGCAAUAUCCAUAGUAAACCGGCGCACGGGUGAGUAAUAUAUAGGUAAUAUGCCUUUUGGUUUGGAAUAACCCCGCGAAAGCGGGGCUAAUACCGAAUGAUGCAGCGGCUCCGCAUGGAGAUGUUGUUAAAGCUUCGGCGCCAAAAGAUUAACCUGUAUCCCAUUAGAUAGUUGGCGAGGUAACGGCUCACCAAGUCUGCGAUGGGUAGCUGAUCUGAGAGGAUGAUCAGCCACACUGGAACUGAGACACGGUCCAGACUCCUACGGGAGGCAGCAGUGAGGAAUAUUGCGCAAUGGAGGAAACUCUGACGCAGCGACGCCGCGUGAAGGAUGAAGGCCCUCUGGGUCGUAAACUUCUGUAGAGAGGGAAGAAUUUUUCGCUUCGCGAAAUUGACGGUACCUCUAAAGUAAGGGUCGGCUAACUACGUGCCAGCAGCCGCGGUAAUACGUAGGACCCGAGCGUUGUCCGGAUUUACUGGGUGUAAAGGGAGCGCAGGCGGAUUAUUAAGUCGAUUGUGAAAUCUUGCGGCUCAACCGCAAAACAGCAGUCGAUACUG
rnacentral:rRNA from 1 species